AGAUGCUCACCCUGCUCCAGCCCCACAUGCUGGGUGGCCACCAACUUGUGCCAGGAGCCCAGCCACCUGCAAGCUAGCUGUACGUUUUAACUUUUAACCCACAUUUAAUUUUUAGGCACCCCAAGGCACAUACCUACUGUGCCUAAUUGGAAAUCCAGCCCUAAGUCUGACAAGUUUAGGCUCCAGUCUCCACCCCUUAGCCCCCAUGCUCUUCCAUCCAUACUUACAGUCCUCAAACACAUGCCUGUAUGUCCUUAGAACAUGUGCUUCCUGGCUCAUCCAUGGGAUAGGUGUAGCCUGGUUUAGCAAUUUUGUUUAGGCUGCAGUCAGUUUAUCCUCCAUCUUGGGCUUCCUUCUUGUUACCAUGGUUGGCGCCCUUUUUGGUGCUAAUGUUUAGUUGGUGAAAAGCUUUUGAAAAUGCUCAGUGAGAGUUGUAGUCUGCCAGGCAACCCAAGAGGGGGAAACAUCAUGUGACCUGAGUGUGUAAUCUGCAUGAUAACAGAAAGUGCAUAUAAGGUCUCAGCACUUUGCUCUGUGCUGUCCGUCAUAGUGACAGCCAGUGCCUGUGCACCAUCGACACUCAUCAGAUCAAGACACAGACGAAGACUUACCUGUUCCAGAAGAUCUUUGGUCCUGAUGGCAACUUCUUGGCUGGUGGCUCCUGUCCGUGGUUCCUGUGUUCCUAAUUCCUGAGGGUUUGGUUCCAGUCCUGGUUCCUGUUGUGUGGCUAUUGUUCCUGGUAUCCCGCGCAGAAAUAAGUUGGAAGAAAUCCUUGUUAUUGUUAAGGGGAUGGAUGAACCAGAUAUAUCCCUGGAGAGGAAAGCAAAUGAGCCAGGGCGGGGGCAAGCUGCACAUAGAGUACAAGGAAAGUGGCUUUGUGCAUACGAAAGUUCUGCAGCAACUGCUUGUCAUCCCAUACCUGUAUCAUAAUCGGAUCCCACCACUCGGUGCUUGUUUCCUGAGCCCAAUAGUGAAGGUCCACCAUGUGCAGCUGCUCCUUGAUCAGCCACCUUGUGUUCACAAUGCUUAUCACAGACUGUUGAGCAUGCUCUGAGACAGAGAUGGCAGGCGCAAAGUUUACAGAGGCAGUUGAAAAAUGGCACGAAACACAGUCAGAAGCCCUUGGAAUGAUGGAUGGAGAAAACUGCGUUAUGGGAUGGUGAUUCCACCCACACAAUGCACUGCGAUCCAUUCCCAGAACUCGUAGCAGGAGAAGGUGGCGAGUAGCACAGUGGGAUAGCUACCCACCAUGCACUGCUCUCUCUGCUAGAGCAUGAACUGUGCACACACCCCAUUGACACAAGGAGCAUUGUGUGAACAUGCACGAGCGCUGUAAUUACAGUGCGUUAUUAUCAUCAAUGUAACUUAAGUCGACUUAACUCUGUAGAGUAGAUGUGGCCUUAGUUUGUUUUUACAUAAACUGAUUCCUAAUCAGUUUAGGCUAAACUGACCUGGUUUAAACUGAAAUGUCCUCACAGGGGCUUGCACUGCUUUAACUAAACCGAUUUAAAAUCACCCCUUUACUUAAAUUGGUGCAACUUUCUCAUGUGCAUAAAUUUCCAUGUGGAAACUGGGUGGGAGGUAAUACAGCUGCUGCUGUGGAGUUGGGCCGGGGAGCAGCCAAUGGCUGUGUGGCUUCCUUUGUAACCAUGCUGCCAGUGGAAAGGGAAGGGAGCAGAGACAGCUGCUCUGUAGUUGUUUUCUGUUUCUAGCCCAAAGUCUGUAAGGAAGAGGCGUGGGAGGGGGAGCUCCAAAAUCCAUUGCACCCUGAGAAAAUCCCUUCAGCAGACAGCAUGUUUCAAGGAAAACUCAGAGGGGAAUCUUACAGAGUUGCCUUCCCCUCCUCAGGCCCUCUCCUGCAGGUUUUCCACAAGAGAGGGCAAUCUGGUCCUAAAACACCAAGGAGUCAUUUGAUCUCACCAAUUAUAAAUAAGUCUGAUGAGAGCGGACAAGGGCUCUGUUGUGAUAGAUACAUCAGUGCUAAUUAUCAGUCACAAUUGUCCCCUAUCACCCUAGUGUAUUUUGUGCAGUAUAAUUAUACCACUAAGCAGAGCUGAUAUGCAGUUUGAAAGAACUUACAAUAUAUUCAUGUGAGUGCCAGCUUCCCUCGAGUAACUUUUCCAACUGUUACCCUGGAAGAAGAACUCAGCAGUUUGGGUGGUCUUGCCUACAUUCUGCAAUACAAGCCUUGCGAGCAGCCUGGAAAAUGGUCUCUCUAACCAGACCACUGGCUCCUUUUCUCAGCCUGUGGUCACAGAAGCCUCUGGAAAAUGGAUUGGAGGACAAGAGGCAGUCUUGUUAAUGGGAAACAUCUGAAGUAUUUGAGUGCUGGCUUACAUUCCAUAGACUAAAUGUUGCCUCAUUUAGGAAAAAACAAUAGAACUACAAUUUUCAUUCAUUUGGUUAAAUGAACAUACACAAUUUUCUUUGUGGCAGCAGAGCCAGGUUUGCCAUGGGUUAGUGCUGUUGUUAGGGCUGGGUAGCCACAGCCUGUGGCAUAAAGGGGUUAAAGGUACGUAUAUGCUAUUUUAAGUUUGUCACUUCCAGCUGUUAAUAAAUGGUCUAGUUGAUUGCUCAACCACACUUUGGUUCAUUAUGAAAUAUAUUCCAGAGACCAAAUAAACAAUAUCAGUCAGGUUUAUUGCAAUAAGCCAAUAAUAAUAUCGUACAGGGAAAAGGUUCUAUAUGGUACUAGUCUUCAGGAAGCCAUCUUGUUCAGCAGUGUUACGUUCACCUUAUGCAGAAGGUGAGCUCCCAAAGUUUCACAGUUCAGUUAGGACUAGUUAUAAGAUAUUUUACAAGUUAUAAAACUCUUUACACAUCUCUGAAGCACAACCCAUCCGUGCAUCCCAGUUCCUUGACUUGUUGCUCUGUUCCUUUCCUUAUCUUUGUUUUGGAUACUAGCACUGCAAGUGUUGUCUGUGACGGUACCACCCUCACUUGUACGAAGACAGAAAAAAAUGUAUCUGUUUAUGCCAAAAGCUGAGCUGUACUAUUGCAGGGUAUUGUGGGGUGUAGUUUAGCAUGAGUGAACAGAACUCUAAGAAGAACGUAGGCCAGUUCCGCUCUUAUAACUGCCAGACAUUUGUAUAAUGCAGAGAUCGGCAACCUUCGGCACGCGGCCCGUCAGGGAAAUCUGCUGACGGGCUG